AUGGUGUCAUAGAAUCCUCUUAUGCCACCAGAGUUUCAUUAUGUUCCUGCUGAUGGCAGAAGUGCAAAAGAGUGAGGAGAAGCCCCCAGUGCUCUUAAAGCCUCAGCCUAGGACUGUCACCUCUGCUUAGCUUACUAUCAGUGGGGUGAGGAAAUAUACAUCACCUUUUGUGGAAGGAACGUCAAGGUCAUACAGCUAAAGAUGUGGAGACAGGGAAAGGACGGAAAUUGCUUUCAUCUUUCAAAGUAAAGCCAUGGAGAGAAGGCUGGAUCAACCAGGGUGUUGAGAUAUUAGAGAAAAUCUCAGUCUUUCAAUGAGAGGGACAAUUGAAGAAGUUUCCCAGGCUGCAUCAACUGCAACGCCAUUGUGUCACCUGCAGAAGUUAGCUGCACCUCAUGCUGCUGCUGUCCAUGCUGACUGCAGUCCCCUGGGCAUGUUUACGUUUUGUCUAAGUUCUUAGCACUGAUUUUUUCUGGCAUUCAGGUUUCACAUCUGUAACCGCUCUUGCCAGAGGUAGAAGCUUUGUUGAGAUUGAGGACUAUGCUGGACACACAGUAAUUCCAUUAUCACCAGAUUAAUUCGUAAUGAAUGAACACAUGACGCUCUGCUCUCUCUCUGUCUCUCUCUCUCUUUCUCUGUACAUACACACACAUAUAUACAUCAUACAUAUAUUUCCCCUAGAGAUCUAUUCUGUCACUUCUCUUACUACCAUUCACUCCCUUCCCAUUUCUGCUGGAAUCCUGGAUCACCAGCCUGCCUCUCUCAUUCUUGCCAAAGCUCCACCGCCUGUGGGUCUCCACCAGCCUUUCUCUUCAGGUUGCUCAAGACCAAAAUUCAGGAGCUGUAGCAUUCAGCUUGGCAGGCUCUAGAGAGACUGACCUCUGCAGAUGGUUUAAAGGGAGAAGCUCAAGGGUCCACAGUUCACAGGGCUGCCAAUCAGGCCUGUGCAGAAAACUCAACAGUCUAAAAGAAUAUAUGAAGACAGAACCUCAACCUAGAAGAAAUGGACAAAUUCCCAGACACAUCAAGGAAUUCCUAGACAAACUAUCAAAACUGAAUCAUGAUUAGAUAGAAAAUCUGAACAGAUCAAUAUAAGUAAAGAGAUUAAAGCAGUAAUAAACUCUCCCAUCAAAGAAAAGCUCAGGACCUGAUGGCUUCACUGCUGAAUUCUACCAAACGUUUAAAGAACUAACACCAAUGAUUCUCAAACUCUUUUUAAAAAUUGAAGAUGAGAGAACACUUCCAAAUUCAUAUCACGAGGCCAGCAUUACCCUGAUACCAACGCCAGACAAAGACACUAUAAGAAAAGGCAAUUAUGGACCAAUAUCCCUGAUAAACAUGGAUGUAAAAAUCCUCAUCAAAAUACUAGCAAAUGAAAUUCAACCACAAAUUUAAAAAAGCAUUCACCAUGAUCGAGUGGGAUUUAUCCCUGGGAUGCAGGAAGUUUCAACAUACACAAAUCCAUAAACAUGAUACACCACAUCAACAAGAUGAAGGACAAAAUCUUUAUAAUCUCAAUAGAUGCAGGAAAAGCAUUUAACAGAAUUCAGCACCCUUUCAUGAUUUAAAAAAACUCAACAAAAUAUAGAAGGACUGUACCCCAACACAAUAAAGACCAGAUAUGACAAACCCACAGCUAACAUUCUCAACAGUGAAAAGUUAAAAGCUUUUCUUCUGAGAUCAGGAACAAGACAAUAAUGCUCACUCUCUCGACUUCUGUUCAUCGUAACGUUGGAAGUUCUAGACAGAGCAAUUAGACAAAAAAAAAAAAAGAGAUAAAAGGCAUCCAAACUGAAAAGGAAGAAGUUAAAUUGUCCCUGUUUACAGAUAUCAUGAUCUUCUGUACAGAAAACUCUGGCUGGGUGCUGUGGCUCAUGCCUGUAAUCCCAGCUACUCAGGAGACUGAGGCAGGAGAAUAGCUUGAACCCGGGAGGUGGAGAUUCCAGUGAGCCAAGAUUGCACCACUGCUCUCCAGCCUGGGUGACAGAGUGAGACUCUGUCUCAAAAAAAAAAAAAAAAAAAAAAAAAAGAAGAAGAAGAAAAGGAGGAGAAGAAGAGGAGGAGGAGGAGGAAGAAGAAGAAGAGAACAACUCUAAAGACUCCAGCAAAAAAAAAAAAAAAAAGCUUUUGGAAUUAAUAAAUGAAUUCAGUAAAGUUGCAGGAUAUAUAA
ensembl:lncRNA novel transcript